AACGAACGCUGGCGGCAUGCCUAACACAUGCAAGUCGAACGAGACCUUCGGGUCUAGUGGCGCACGGGUGCGUAACGCGUGGGAACCUGCCCUUAGGUUCGGAAUAACUCCCCGAAAGGGGUGCUAAUACCGGAUAAUGUCUUCGGACCAAAGAUUUAUCGCCUUUGGAUGGGCCCGCGUUGGAUUAGCUAGUUGGUAGGGUAAAAGCCUACCAAGGCGACGAUCCAUAGCUGGUCUGAGAGGAUGAUCAGCCACACUGGGACUGAGACACGGCCCAGACUCCUACGGAGGGGAGCAGAGUGUAAUAUUGGACGAUGGGCGAUAGCCUGAUCCAGCAAUGCGGCGGGAGAGAGGAAGGCCUUAGGGUUGUAAAGCUCUUUUACCCGGGAUGAUAAUGACAGUACCGGGAGAAUAAGCACCGGCUAACUCCGUG
rnacentral:rRNA from 1 species